CAGAUCUCUACACGUAGUAGAUAGGUGUGCCAGACAUUUCCUGCCUACGCGCAAGCAGCCAUGAGUGGCUGUGGCGUGUUGGCUCCAGUUUUACUAGUAAUACUUCUAAGUGGCAUCGCCGCUGCACCAAUCAACCUUGUAUCUACAGGAGCCUAUAGUGUUUCUGGAGAAACAAGAGGGCUAGAGGUACCUAUGGAUCUCGUGGCGGGAGUCGGCAUUGGCAUGAGUUCAGUACAACUUGUUGUCAAUGUGCACACUGACAGCGCUGGAAAUAUUGAAGUUCAGACAAACUAAAGUAACAAAAGAAAAAGUGUAUAUAUAAAUAGCUUACGAAAUAAUACAGCUGAGUUGUAACAAUGUCUGUAAUCGUAAAAUACUUGAGAUGUUUAUAAUUUAACGUUUAAUGGACGUCGCAUCAAUUCGAUAUAAUUCAUAACACUUUCUCGCGUCACAACAAUUUGACAGAUAACAAUGUCUUACGGUGAUGCAUUAAUUACAGAAAUUAACGAACGUCAGGUUCAUAACCUUGUGAAAUAAUUAAAUCGGUUUUAACAAUGGUUAACGCCAUUUAUAAUUACGGAGCUUAAAACAGCCCACGAAUAAAGCUGUCAUUCAAUUUAAACAGAAUAUAAAAAUUGAAUGUUUUGAAGAAAAUGUAAUUGAAAUCCGAUAUAAAAUUGCGCAAUAAGGUCCAUAUAAGGUACAAUAAUGUUAUCUUUUGACAAGUGAACGGAAUUGAGUAUCAGCUUAUCAUUGUCGGCGAUAAAAGCAACGUUUCUAAAAUUGCUCACGACAUGUUAUAUCAAGCAUGUAUGUUGAUUUCUGCGUUUAAGAUCUGCUUUCAUACUUACGGUUGUAAAUAUGACAAGGUAGAUCGGUUAAUUGUUAUGAUUUUAUUUGCUUAAUUUAAUUGAGGAUUUGUAAGUGGCUAUUAAGCCAGUUUGUUUAUUAAUAUAUUAAUGUAAAAUGUUACGUUUCGUAGCAACUACGACUGGUUUGGAGACCGUAAUCAACGUCAGCGUUUGUAAUUUGUUAAUUUAAUUUAAGUUAAAUCACAAUUAACAAUCAUUUAAUUCGUACUUUUAUAUAAUAUUUUUAA